rnacentral:rRNA from 1 species
CACGGGGGGAGCAAGCGUUGUUCGGAAUCACUGGGCGUAAAGGGCGUGUAGGCGGUCAAGUAAGUGGAAUGUGAAAGCCCCCGGCUUACCCGGGGAUCUGCAUCCCAAACUGCUUGGCUUGAGUACGGGAGAGGAUAGGGGAAUUCCUGGUGUAGCGGUGAAAUGCGCAGAUAUCAGGAAGAACAUCGGUGGCGGAGGCGCUCUGCUGGACCAUAACUGACACUCAGGGACGAAAGCUAGGGGAGCGAAUGGG